CCCUUAGAUGUUCUGGGCCACACGCGCGUUACACUGAUGAAGCCAGCGAGUAUAUCGCCUUCACCGGAAGGUGCGGGUAAUCUUGUGAAACUUCAUCGUGCUGGGGAUAGACCAUUGCAAUUAUUGGUCUUGAACGAGGAAUUCCUAGUAAGCAUGAGUCAUCAACUCGUGCUGAUUACGUCCCUGCCCUUUGUACACACCGCCCGUCGCUACUACCGAUUGAAUGGUUUAGUGAGAUCUCGGGAUCGGAGACGUUGCGCCGCAAGGCACAUCGUCCUCGAGAACUUGAUCAAACUUGAUCAUUUAGAGGAAGUAAAAGUCGUAACA
rnacentral:rRNA from 1 species